ACACAUGCAGUCGAGCGGAUGAAGAGAGCUUGCUCUCUGAUUUAGCGGCGGACGGGUGAGUAAUGCCUAGGAAUCUGCCUGAUAGUGGGGGACAACGUUUCGAAAGGAACGCUAAUACCGCAUACGUCCUACGGGAGAAAGCAGGGGACCUUCGGGCCUUGCGCUAUCAGAUGAGCCUAGGUCGGAUUAGCUAGUUGGUGAGGUAACGGCUCACCAAGGCGACGAUCCGUAACUGGUCUGAGAGGAUGAUCAGUCACACUGGAACUGAGACACGGUCCAGACUCCUACGGGAGGCAGCAGUGGGGAAUAUUGGACAAUGGGCGAAAGCCUGAUCCAGCCAUGCCGCGUGUGUGAAGAAGGUCUUCGGAUUGUAAAGCACUUUAAGUUGGGAGGAAGGGCAUUAACCUAAUACGUUAGUGUUUUGACGUUACCGACAGAAUAAGCACCGGCUAACUUCGUGCCAGCAGCCGCGGUAAUACGAAGGGUGCAAGCGUUAAUCGGAAUUACUGGGCGUAAAGCGCGCGUAGGUGGUUUGUUAAGUUGAAUGUGAAAGCCCCGGGCUCAACCUGGGAACUGCAUCCAAAACUGGCAAGCUAGAGUAUGGCAGAGGGUGGUGGAAUUUCCUGUGUAGCGGUGAAAUGCGUAGAUAUAGGAAGGAACACCAGUGGCGAAGGCGACCACCUGGGCUAAUACUGACACUGAGGUGCGAAAGCGUGGGGAGCAAACAGGAUUAGAUACCCUGGUAGUC
rnacentral:rRNA from 1 species